GAUGAAGAACGUAGCGAAAUGCGAUAAGUAAUGUGAAUUGCAGAAUUCAGUGAAUCAUCGAAUCUUUGAACGCACAUUGCGCCCGCCAGUAUUCUGGCGGGCAUGCCUGUUCGAGCGUCAUUUCGACCAUCAAGCCCCCGGCUUGUGUUGGGGACCUGCGGCUGCCGCAGGCCCUGAAAUGCAGUGGCGGGCUCGCUGUCACUCCGAGCGUAGUAGUUACAUCUCGCUCUGGGCGUGCUGCGGGUUCCGGCCGUUAAAAGCCUUAUUUACCCAAGGUUGACCUCGGAUCAGGUAGGAAGACCCGCUGAACUUAAGCAUAUCAAUAAGCGGAGGA
rnacentral:misc_RNA from 1 species